AACUUUGCCCAAAAGCUAUGGGCUCCUGAGGUAAGGAAUUCAGGUUGCAACUUUGUCCAAACUGCCACCAACCCAACGCACUUCUCAUGCUGGGUCCGUCAACUAGCACACACAGAACCAGCGGGACCUGGAACAUGUGGAAAGCACAGACUGCAACCCCACACCCCACCUGGGCUCAGCAAAGGAAGCAGCCUUUUCAGCCUUCAGACUUCCCUCGCCAGCCUCUGCAGACUGAGCUCCAGUUCCAGGCUUCCCUGGACACAGAGAAUGAACAUACCCAGCAUGGAGGCCCGACUGCCUUCCCCUCUCCAUCCCAGGGUCUCGCUGUGGACGGUGACCCAAGGAGAAGAAAAGCUAUGGAUACCAUCGAAAUUGAUAAAAAUUAGAUUUGAACAAGAGAGACCUCUUAAUUAAGGAAGGCCUCUUGAUUAGUUCAUCAAACAGCAUGGCCUUUCAAUCUACACUAACUUACUAGAUGCCAAAAAGGGAAACUCCCCAAAAUUAGGGUUGGUGCAGGGUUUUGUUUUUGUCUUUGCAAGAAAAUAAAAGCAUCCAACUAAGGCAACUUAGGAAUCUGAAGACCACUGUACAAAUGAGACAUCUGGAGAAGACGAGAGAAUGAUCCAGAGAAAAUGCCCCGAGAAGAAGAGUCAACUGGCCUAAUGGUACAGCACACUUCCAAUAGGAUAAAAUCUCAUAGGUCUUCCCAAAUGUGUGUUUCUGCUGUUCUCUACAGACAUACAAGGCAAACGGUCUUUUGUAGUUCCAGUACAAUUAAAACUUAAAUCUGGCUUUAGAGUUGGAGAGUGGCUGUCUCCUUCUCUAAACCCAAGCAUGCUUGUUAAAGAAAAUAAAAAUCUCUCUCCUAUCUCAGAAGAACCACCUGGUAUAGGACAGAAGAAAAAACAAAA